CCCUUAGAUGUUCUGGGCCGCACGCGCGCUACACUGACGAAGUCAGCGAGCAUGUCCUACGCCGACAGGUGCGGGGAAUCUUGUCAAACUUCGUCGUGAUGGGGAUUGAUUAUUGAAAUUCUUGAUCAUCAACGAGGAAUUCCUAGUAAGCGCAAGUCAGCAGCUUGCGUUGAUUACGUCCCUGCCCUUUGUACACACCGCCCGUCGCUACUACCGAUUGAAUGGUUUAGUGAGAUCUUCGGAUUGACGCCACUGCGGCUCAGCAAUGGGCUCGGUGGAUGCCGAAAAGUUGAUCAAACUUGAUCAUUUAGAGGAAGUAAAAGUCGUAACA
rnacentral:rRNA from 1 species